CCCCCAGUCACUCACUGUUAGUUCUGGGGAUCAGGCAGGCUGCACAUGAAAAUAUCAGAUGCUGCUCAAUGUGCCACACUCGGUUUCUCAUAGAUUUGUAGACUUUGAGGCCAGAAGAGACCGAUACAUCAUCUAACCUGACCCCUCCCCACUCGGCAUAUCACAGGCCUCCUGUAGAGCAAAGUGGCUAAUUAAGGAUCAAAGCCUGGUCUUCAUUAGAAGACACCAGUAGGUGGAGAAACCACCACUUCCCUAGGGAGUUCGGAGGAAACUGAUGCAGUGAGAGGAAGGGAAAUGAUGCCAAAGCCACACUUGUGGUAAUAACAAGUCUGAAAGGGUCUGAACCAGGAAAGUUGCCUCGUUCUACCGAAAGACUAAAAAGUUGUUGCGAUUUCGUCUGACGCUGUUCACUUAAGUCCUGAGGAGGAAGUUGCUCCUGCGACCUGGACGAUCGAUACAGCUUUAACUGGUUAGCAUGAUAAAUCUUGUCUCUAUUAUGCUUUCCUCCUGUUACUCUGAUCUUAUAUACUGCUGAACUGAGUUUAUCAAUGAUUUGGAAAGGUCCGAUCCAUCGGUUACACAACCCAUGUUCUGGUAACUUAUAUGGCAACAACAUUACCUGGUCUCCUACCUCCUAAGUAUUCUCUCUCUGGUUUUUGUCAAAGUAAGCCUUUGCCUUACGUCUGGAUUUUCCCAAUUUGGCAGCUACCUGCAAGUGGAUGUGAUUUAAAUGUUUUUGCAGAUUUUGCAGGUAGGUAUCCAUUUUUAUUCCUUCUAAUUGAGUGCCACUAGUGUGCCAAAUUAAA